rnacentral:tmRNA from 1 species
GGGGCUGUCCUGGUUUCGACGCGGGUACAGAUCUGGAGUGGUGCAUGCCGAGCUUGAGUCACGCUCGUAAAUCUUGAUUCGAAAAACUAACUGCAAACGACGAUCGUUUCGCACUCGCCGCUUAAAUCCCGGUGAGACUUGCAACAGCUCGCUGAUGGGCUGGGUGAAGGCCGCAAGGCCGUAGCUGCAAGUUCAUUCACAUCAGCUGGUCGACAGCCGGGCAUCUUGGCUGCCGAUGAGAUCCAAGGAUGCUGGCCUUGCAAGCAGCGUGUGGCUGCGCGGCCUGCAAGGCGAGAUCAAAACAGACCACUAAGCAUGUAGAACUGCCCAGAAAAGGCUUGCGGACGCGGGUUCAAUUCCCGCCAGCUCCACCA